rnacentral:rRNA from 1 species
GACGAACGCUGGCGGCGUGCUUAACACAUGCAAGUCGAACGGAAAGGCCCUGCUUUUGUGGGGUGCUCGAGUGGCGAACGGGUGAGUAACACGUGAGUAACCUGCCCUUGACUUUGGGAUAACUUCAGAAAACUGGGGCUAAUACCGGAUAGGAGCUCCUGCUGCAUGGUGGGGGUUGGAAAGUUUCGGCGGUUGGGGAUGGACUCGCGGCUUAUCAGCUUGUUGGUGGGGUAGUGGCUUACCAAGGCUUUGACGGGUAGCCGGCCUGAGAGGGUGACCGGCCACAUUGGGACUGAGAUACGGCCCAGACUCCUACGGGAGGCAGCAGUGGGGAAUAUUGCACAAUGAGCGGAAGCCUGAUGCAGCAACGCCGCGUGCGGGAUGACGGCCUUCGGGUUGUAAACCGCUUUCGCCUGUGACGAAGCGUGAGUGACGGUAAUGGGUAAAGAAGCACCGGCUAACUACGUG